UACGGAGGGUGCAAGCGUUAUCCGGAUUCACUGGGGUUAAAGGGUGCGUAGGAGGGCAGGGAAGUCAGUGGUGAAAUCUCCGAGCUUAACUCGGAAACUGCCGUUGAUACUCUCUGUCUUGAAUACCGUGGAGGUGAGCGGAAUAUGUCAUGUAGCGGUGAAAUGCUUAGAUAUGACAUAGAACACCAAUUGCGAAGGCAGCUCACUACGCGAAUAUUGACACUGAGGCGCGAAAGCGUGGGGAUCAAACAGG
rnacentral:rRNA from 1 species